UCCGUAUAUUAUUAAGAAUCGGGGAACAAGGGUUUUUGCCAGUAGAGAUGUAAAUUAGAACAACCACUGAGAAUGCUGUGCUGUAUAUGCCAGAUUGACUCUUUCAACUGCCAGUCUUCCUUCCUAGUCAGCGAGGUUGCAAAAUACGUGCACUUCCCGUAUUUGUGCAGCUCGUAUCCGGAAGCUAAUUAGACUUUCACAAUUAUUUGUUCUCUGCACGAUCUGAAAAGAGACACGAGGCCGAGGCCAUCUUUUUGAGGCUCUUGAGUGUUGUAAGGUUGUGGGACACCUGUUUGCACGCAGCAGUCAGGGGUGGAAAGUCUGUCCUCGCGCUUUCUGGACACGGAGAAGUAGCGCUGGUGGCCGCAGCUCCUUACGAUGACCUGUCAAUCCCUAGAUUGUGGGACGACACCGUGCUUGUCCAGGUUGCCAGGAGGGAGCGCGGUGGCGGUGCUGGCCUCCGGCUUCUGGCGGGGUUCCACCGGGGCAGGAGAGUCCCCGGCCCCUGCCAGCACCUGACAUGGGCGUUUGUAAAAGUCAUAACCCUUCUAAUAGGCGUAUAUAUCAUUGUGGCUUGAACUUGUAUUUCCUUUUUUUUUUCUUCUAGUAGAAUUUUACUUUCAUAUAGAGUGGGAAAAAAAAAAAAAAAACCUAAAAGGUUAAAGCAAGUCCAACAACCACCUCUACGCAAUAAAGCCUUUGCGAAUGUCAACUGAAGUGAUCCAGAGCUAAAACUGAAUUAUGCAGAUUUUCAGUGAAGUCACCCAGUCAUGUAAUGCAAACAAAAGUCAACUAUUUACACGUUAGGCGAGCCUCUCAAAAAUGCACCCCAAGAAGCAUUCAUCUUUGUUUUUUGCUUUUUGUUUUUGUUUUGUUUUGUUUUGUUUUCGUAUGCCAUCCAAAGACUUGCACGUUUUUUCAGAUUAUUUAAUCUUUUCAAUAGAACGUGGCCUGUCCCGUGUGGUAAUGCUCUGGUACUAUUCGUUUAGGAUGGCUCCUCCUGCAACCAGACGUGUCCCCAGAGGGGCUUUGGUUCUGCUUUAGAAGUUCCAAUAGAGAUUAAAAUCUUUUUUGAAUCAAAUAUCAGUAUGGAGGGAGGGGACGCGGGGUGCAACAUAGACCAGCAGGUUACCUCUCUGUAUGUUAGAGAUCACUCCUUUGAGGUAUUUGCGCCACAGCCUGGUCCGUCCUGCUUCAUAUUAGGUAGUACAGGUUUGAAUCAUCAGAACCUUGGCAAGACCUGAUUUUUUUUUCAAAAUUACAAUUACCUCUAGGAGCAAGUCCAUGUUACUGAGUCAUGGGAAAUUUAAUAUCGUGAAGGAAAACAAGUAUAGCCAGGCAUCUUUAAAAAUAUGCCCCAACCACUGCUUCUCAAUAUUGAAAAACUAAAACUACAUACGUUUAUUGUACAACAAAUCCCAUCUGGGUCCCCUGAAAUUCCCCUAGUUUCAUUCAUUAGAAAGGGAUUAGGAAAAAAAAAAGAGACUUAGCACUUUAUUAUUAUUUUUUUAAAGAUUUUAUUUAUUCAUGAGAGACACAGAGAGAGAGGCAGAGACACAGGCAGAGGGAGAUGCAGGCUCCAUGCAGGGAGCCCGAUGCAGAACUCGAUCCCAGGACCCUUGGGUCACGUUCUGAGUCCAAGGCAGGUGCUCAACCCCUGAGCCACCCGGGGGUCCCUACAAAUCGCUUUCAUAGAAACUAACAAGCUGAUUCUAAAAUUCAUGUAGAAGUGAGCCUAAAAUGGUCAAAGACAAUUUUGGAAGAAAACAAAGGUGAAGGCCCAGGACGACUUGAUGUCAAGACCAACCUUGAAACUGCACUAACCGGGGUCGUGUGGUCUGGGCAUCAAGAGAGACAAAUCAGUGGAAUAGAAUGGUGUUCGGAAAUAGAACCGCCCAUCUGUGGACAACUGAUUUUCAACAAAGGUGCAAUAAAGGACAGUCUUUUCAACAAAUGGUGCUGCAGCAGAAAUGAAACAAAACAUUAACUUCCAUGUCUACCUUGUAUCAUAUAUAUAAAAAACCCAACAAUCUCCAAAUGAAUCCUGGACCUGAAACUAUAAAACUUUUCAAAUACAUAGAAAAUCUUUGGGACCGGGAGCUAAGCAGAGAGUUCUUAGAAACAACACCAAAACACAACCCAUAAAGGAAAAGUUGUCAGAUUUCAUCAGAAUUAAUUAAUUAAUUUUUAUUUAUUUUUAGAUUUCAUCAGAAUUUAAAAUUUCUCUUUGAAAGGCAUUAGAGAAUGAAAAGAGAAGUUGGACUGGGAGGAAAUAGCUCCAAAUCUUAUCUCUGAUAAAGAACCUGUAUCCAAAAUGUAUAAGGAAAUCUCAAAAAUAAAUGUAAAAAUAGAUUAUUUGAACAGACAUGGCACUAAGAAGAUAAACAGAAGUCAAGCGCGUGGAAGAGUGUUCGACAGGAACAGAAGCAGGCUCCAUGCAGGGAGCCCGAUGCGGACUCGAUCCCGGGACCCCGGGGUCACGCCCUGGGCCAAAGGCAGAUGCGUGCAACCUCCACGUUCCCUUUGUUUCACAAUUCUGGCUACAUAUUUAGGCGCACACUCUCUGAACACCCUUGACCCUUUGUCCAUCCUUAGAUAGCUCCAUUUCUGAAAAAGAGUCAAGUCAUAACUCAAACUGCUUGACCCUCGCUCCUCCUUUCUUUUCACACUCAUCAGUAUAGGAGAGGGAUGGAGACUGGACACAGGCCAGACGCCCAGCUCUGAAAUUUUACAUUGUGUCUCCCAGUGAGACUUGAGCAAUUUACUUAACUUUCUUUGCCCAGCUUCUUCAUUUAUAAAAUAGAGAUAAUAAUAGUAUUUACCUCAUAGGGUGGCUGAGAAUAUUAAAUGAGUCAUUAGAUAUAAAGUGCAUAGAAUACACCAGGAUGGUAAAUUCUUAAUAUUAGCAAUUAUGACUAUUAGCAGAAGAUUUUGCUUGUGUCAUUUUGCCGGAGGCGAACACCUCCCACCAGCUCUAUCCCACCUCCUCCCACCUCGUGGUCUUUUAAUAGAUGAUCUCAUUUUUCCCACAGCAUGUUGAACAACAUUCUUUACUGGUCCUUCUUCUAGAAUUAUAAACACGAUCAAGAACCUCCCACUUAAAAAUCUAUCCUUAAUGGCAUGACUAGUAAUUGGAUCCAGACACUCGAAGGGACAUAAGAGCAAAAGCAAGUUCUUGCGAGUAAAUCUGAUGAAGUGGUUUGCCACGAGAAUCGCCUGACACUCCAAAGCAAAAGCACUGAACAAAAGUCGACUUUCACAGAAGUGGCUAUCGCAUGAUUUCUCCUGCAAGGACCAGUACUUUCUAUUCCGUGAUGAUCUGCGUCCUCUGCUAUGCUUCAUCUCAUGCUUGACUGAUUCCAAGUGUGAAGGGGGUUAACUGUAUUCGCUAUUGGCAAUUUAGCAUUAAUUGUAAUACGCUGUAAUCCAAAUUACAAUCUGUCAUUGCCAGUCAAAUUGUGAAGCGUUGUAAUUGCGUUUUAGAGUUCCGCUGCCGUUGAUGAUUGCUACCUCAUUUGUGUUUUAAUAUCCCGUGACGAAUUUGCAAAUGGAAAUACAAUCCUGUAACAAGCCAGGAAACAAGCAUUGUUCGUCCUAUUAUAACAGCUAGAAAAUUAUUUCUUAACAAAUGAAAAGGGAAAGAGAUGGUAAGACAGUGAAGAGAAAUCAUUUAAGGACGAAAAAGAUGCAAAAAGACUUCAGUUUUCUAGCGGCUCAUAAAAGUAAGUGAGCCGUAGAGUUUUUUGGGAACACGUUUUUAAACAAGACGUUACAGAAUAAUCUUUAAAAUUAUUUGUGAAAGCUACCCGUACUAAUACAAAUUGCUCUAGUUUAUUGAUUUGAAUUGGUGUAGAGAAUUCCCCAGCAUACUCAACAUUCUUUCCUUGGUGAUCCUUCCUGUUGUUUUUACUGUUAAAAAUCAUGCUACUG